rnacentral:rRNA from 1 species
GGGAGGGGCGGCAGCUUAACAUGCAAGUCGAACGGUAACAGGGAGCUUGCUCCGCUGACGAGUGGCGAACGGGUGAGUAAUGUAUCGGAACGUACCUUUCAGUGGGGGAUAACGUAGCGAAAGUUACGCUAAUACCGCAUAUUCUGUGAGCAGGAAAGCAGGGGAUCGCAAGACCUUGCGCUGAUUGAGCGGCCGAUAUCAGAUUAGCUAGUUGGUGAGGUAAAGGCUCACCAAGGCGACGAUCUGUAGCGGGUCUGAGAGGAUGAUCCGCCACACUGGAACUGAGACACGGUCCAGACUCCUACGGGAGGCAGCAGUGGGGAAUUUUGGACAAUGGGGGCAACCCUGAUCCAGCCAUGCCGCGUGAGUGAAGAAGGCCUUCGGGUUGUAAAGCUCUUUCGGCCGGGAAGAAAUCGUAUGGGUUAAUACCCUGUGCGGAUGACGGUACCGGCAUAAGAAGCACCGGCUAACUACGUGCCAGCAGCCGCGGUAAUACGUAGGGUGCGAGCGUUAAUCGGAAUUACUGGGCGUAAAGCGUGCGCAGGCGGUUUUGUAAGACAGGCGUGAAAUCCCCGGGCUCAACCUGGGAACUGCGCUUGUGACUGCAAGGCUAGAGUAUGGCAGAGGGGGGUGGAAUUCCACGUGUAGCAGUGAAAUGCGUAGAGAUGUGGAGGAACACCAAUGGCGAAGGCAGCCCCCUGGGCCAAUACUGACGCUCAUGCACGAAAGCGUGGGUAGCAAACAGGAUUAGAUACCCUGGUAGUCCACGCCCUAAACGAUGUCAACUAGGUGUUGGGUGGGUAAAACCAUUUAGUACCGGAGCUAACGCGUGAAGUUGACCGCCUGGGGAGUACGGCCGCAAGGUUAAAACUCAAAGGAAUUGACGGGGACCCGCACAAGCGGUGGAUGAUGUGGAUUAAUUCGAUGCAACGCGAAAAACCUUACCUACCCUUGACAUGUCCAGGAGCCUGAAGAGAUUUGGGUGUGCCCGAAAGGGAACUGGAACACAGUGCUGCAUGGCUGUCGUCAGCUCGUGUCGUGAGAUGUGGGUUAAGUCCCGCAACGAGCGCAACCCUUGUCGUAAUGCCAUCAUUUAGUGGGCACUUAACGAGACUGCGUGACAACGGAGAGGUGGGAUGACGUCAAGUCCUCAUGGCCCUUAUGGUAGGCCUCCACACCGUCAUAACAUUG